GGCCUCCUACUUCUUACCAUAGGCUGUGUUCUUUACACUGUAUAGAAAAAGGAAGUACAGUAAAUGCACCCUAUAUACACCUCAACACAGGCCCUUUGCCUGGUCUGUAUUCCAGUUUUUGGAAGAAUCU